CAAAGGUCAAGUUACCAAGCCUAAGAUCAAGAUCAAGAUGAUGCUCGAGGUCAAGCUACCAAGGCUGAGGCUGAGGUGAAAGCCGAGCUUCUAAAGGUUAGGUUUCUAGAGAUCAAAUCCGACCACCUUCAGAUUGGCUAGAUGCCAAUCAGAUUUGACCAUCUUUAGAUUAGUCAAACAUCGAUCAGAUCUGACCACCU
rnacentral:lncRNA from 1 species